rnacentral:tRNA from 1 species
GGGGAUGUGGCUCAAGUGGUAGAGCGCUCGCCUAGCAUGCGUGCGGCCCGGGUUCGAUCCUCAGCACCA